rnacentral:rRNA from 1 species
UUGAGUAACCUGCCCUUAACUCUGGGAUAAGCCUGGGAAACUGGGUCUAAUACCGGAUAGGAGCGUCCACCGCAUGGUGGGUGUUGGAAAGAUUUAUCGGUUUUGGAUGGACUCGCGGCCUAUCAGCUUGUUGGUGAGGUAAUGGCUCACCAAGGCGACGACGGGUAGCCGGCCUGAGAGGGUGACCGGCCACACUGGGACUGAGACACGGCCCAGACUCCUACGGGAGGCAGCAGUGGGGAAUAUUGCACAAUGGGCGAAAGCCUGAUGCAGCGACGCCGCGUGAGGGAUGACGGCCUUCGGGUUGUAAACCUCUUUCAGUAGGGAAGAAGCGAAAGUGACGGUACCUGCAGAAGAAGCACCGGCUAACUACGUGCCAGCAGCCGCGGUAAUACGUAGGGUGCGAGCGUUAUCCGGAAUUAUUGGGCGUAAAGAGCUCGUAGGCGGUUUGUCGCGUCUGUCGUGAAAGUCCGGGGCUUAACCCCGGAUCUGCGGUGGGUACGGGCAGACUAGAGUGCAGUAGGGGAGACUGGAAUUCCUGGUGUAGCGGUGGAAUGCGCAGAUAUCAGGAGGAACACCGAUGGCGAAGGCAGGUCUCUGGGCUGUAACUGACGCUGAGGAGCGAAGGCAUGGGGAGCGAACAGGAUUAGAUACCCUGGUAGUCCAUGCCGUAAACGUUGGGCACUAGGUGUGGGGACCAUUCCACGGUUUCCGCGCCGCAGCUAACGCAUUCAGUGCCCCGCCUGGGGAGUACGGCCGCAAGGCUAAAACUCAAAGGGAAUUGACGGGGGCCCCGCACAAGCGGCGGAGCCUGCGGAUUAAUUCGAUGCAACGCGAAGAACCUUACCAAGGCUUGACAUGUUCUCGAUCGCCGUAGAGAUACGGUUUCCCCUUUGGGGUGGGUUCACAGGUGGUGCAUGGUUGUCGUCAGCUCGUGUCGUGAGAUGUUGGGUUAAGUCCCGCAACGAGCGCAACCCUCGUUCCAUGUUGCCAGCACGUCGUGGUGGGGACUCAUGGGAGACUGCCGGGGUCAACUCGGAGGAAGGUGAGGACGACGUCAAAUCAUCAUGCCCCUUAUGUCUUGGGCUUCACGCAUGCUACAAUGGCCGGUACAAUGGGUUGCGAUACUGUGAGGUGGAGCUAAUCCCAAAAAGCCGGUCUCAGUUCGGAUUGGGGUCUGCAACUCGACCCCAUGAAGUCGGAGUCGCUAGUAAUCGCAGAUCAGCAACGCUGCGGUGAAUACGUUCCCGGGCCUUGUACACACCGCCCCGUCC